rnacentral:misc_RNA from 1 species
GUCCCAAAUUCCAGUAAGGUACGGUGGUGGUCGCUUUUCUAUAUAUGCAUAAUACAUAUAUGUUCUCAUUUGAGCAAUUAAAGCCUGCAAACCUUGACACUGCAUCAAUUUGCACUAGCUUAGACAUGGCCGGGGCCGGUUUUGGCUCUCAACUGGAUCAAAUGAUCAACGAUGCUGUUAAAUUCAAAUCGUAUGUAAAUAAUAAUAAUAAUAAUAA